CCUACGGGUGGCAGCAGUGAGGAAUAUUGGACAAUGGACGUAAGCCUGAACCAGCCAAGUCGCGUGAGGGAUGAAGGUUCUAUGGAUCGUAAACCUCUUUUAUAAGGGAAUAAAGUGUGGGACGUGUCCUAUUUUGUAUGUACCUUAUGAAUAAGGAUCGGCUAACUCCGUGCCAGCAGCCGCGGUAAUACGGAGGAUCCGAGCGUUAUCCGGAUUUAUUGGGUUUAAAGGGUGCGUAGGCGGCCUUUUAAGUCAGCGGUGAAAGUCUGUGGCUCAACCAUAGAAUUGCCGUUGAAACUGGGGGGCUGGAGUAUUGUUGAGGCAGGCGGAAGUCGUGGUGUAGCGGUGAAAUGCUUAGAUAUCACGCAGAACCCCGAUUGCGAAGGCAGCCUGCCAAGCCAUGACUGACGCUGAUGCACGAAAGCGUGGGGAUCAAACAGGAUUAGAUACCCCAGUAGUC
rnacentral:rRNA from 1 species